CAGAGACACAUUAGUUUCCAUAAAUCUGCUUUAAGGAAUAUCAUGCUCCACUGGAUGCUUGAUGACAUGGGAAAUGGGUGGUAAUGCAAGUUCUUGUCUGUGAAAGCUGGACCAGCUCUAGCAGAAUGACAGGGCAUGAUAGCCGGUCCUCACAAUUCUGUGGAGCAUCCUGCACCUCUGAGGUUUCCAGGUUUGCCACCAGGUCACAGAAAUCAAUUACUCUCACAGCAUUUUUUAAGGGUAUGCAUGCAAGGUGGUUAUGCAUUAUUGGACAGCAAGAAAGAAGAGGAUAUGCAGUCAUUUCACAGGAUUUCCUAUUCAUAUAUUCAUCUGAAAAUUGCUCUUGAAAUAUGUGCCAUUUUGUUUGGAACAAACUGAAUAUAGUUGUUCAUUCUCCAGGCAUGACUGCCAUGAAGGAAAGAAUUACAAUCAGGUAUUAAUCAAGCUAUUAUUACAGGCUGCAGGGAUUUUGUACCUUCAUAGGCAGAGAGCCAGACAAGAUCACUAUGUGCAUUCAUUUCUUCAGAAAAUAACUGUUAUUUGUACAGUGCCUGUCAUCUUCACCUUAUAUCACCAUAACUGCCAUUCAGUUAUGAAUAUUCACUUUCAAUGACAAUUUUCAGGAAAACUCAUGUAUAUUUACUUACUGUAAGCCAAUCAUUCCUUUCUAAAACUAAUAAAAUGCCAACAGCCUACAACAAGUCUCAGAAUAUUGUGACUGCACAGUUCCUUGCCACUGUUGUCAAAGGUUUUGGGAGUUUCCAAGGAUAAACUAAGGGCAGCAGAAGCAACGGGGAGUCCAAGCAAUUCACUUAGCUCCCUUCCUAUUUUAUUUGCUUCAAAAGAAACAUGUACAGAGCUGUGUCUGCAUUAACUCAGUGCUGCUGCACCAGACUUACGCUGAUGACCUUGUAAAUGGAUUCCUAUAAGAUUUUAUCAAUAGUAUAAGAGACUUUUCUAUUUAUUCUCUCAUGCAGUAUCAAAAUGAAGGCACACAUAUGCACACACAUACACAGAGAAGUCAAACAGUGAUAAAAAAGACACACCGAUGUAUGAUAACUUCUUUAUUAGCAGGCUUAAAAUCUUUGCUAAUACUAAAAAAGCAAGAAGAAAAA